rnacentral:rRNA from 1 species
UACGGAGGGUGCAAGCGUUAUCCGGAUUCACUGGGUUUAAAGGGUGCGUAGGAGGGCAGGUAAGUCAGUGGUGAAAUCUCCGAGCUUAACUUGGAAACUGCCAUUGAUACUAUCUGUCUUGAAUAUUGUGGAGGUGAGCGGAAUAUGUCAUGUAGCGGUGAAAUGCUUAGAUAUGACAUAGAACACCAAUUGCGAAGGCAGCUGACUACGCGAAUAUUGACGCUGAGGCACGAAAGCGUGGGGAGCGAACAGG